AUCUGUUGACUGUCGAGUAUCCUUUCGGGCUUUUCGCAGUUGGCCUUUAACUUUAAGGAGUGCAUAGUGGCCCGUAUCGCUGGCAUUAACAUUCCUGAU
rfam:Shewanella baltica OS185, complete genome.